CCGGCGACCGGCGCACGGGUGAGUAACACGUAUGCGACCUGCCCCCCGCAGGGGGAUAACCGGGAGAAAUCCCGACUAAUACCGCGUAACGCCGCGGGGCUGCAUGGCCCAGCGGCCAAAGGAAGCGAUUCCGGCGGGGGAUGGGCAUGCGGCGCAUUAGCUAGUCGGCGGGGUAACGGCCCACCGAGGCGACGAUGCGUAGGGGUUCUGAGAGGAAGGUCCCCCACACUGGUACUGAGACACGGACCAGACUCCUACGGAAGGCAGCAG
rnacentral:rRNA from 1 species